rnacentral:rRNA from 1 species
UAGGAGCGUCCCGACCAUACUCCGAGAACGUCAGAAACUAAGAUCACGGAAGCGUUUUUUACAAACUGCCACCGACUACGCGAGCAAUGUUCGCUGGUGGACGUCCGUGUUUUUUACUGUGACUAAAGAAGUGCGACCAAGGCAGUCCAUCGACAUGAAUUAGAAAGCAUGGGAUAACAAAGCAGCAGCCUAUGAGCUACCAUUUAGGCUUUUGUUGGUUUUAAAGGUUCGUGGGAGAUUACGGGCGUGUAGGACCGGCGUUGGGGGUUUUCCAAAAUCCCCGCGUCUCCUCCUGGCAUCGGAAACGGUGCUUGCGGGGCCUGCUUCGCUCAGGAAUGAAGGAGGGUUGCUCGGGGGAAAACGUACUUGGGCGUGAGAGGUGAAAUUCUUAGACCGCCCAAAGACGAACUACAGCGAAGGCAUUUUCC